GUUUAUCUGUGAUGCAUUGAAAAGUGUACAUUUUACUUAAUGAAUGUGUACAAUUUAAAUGGGAACUUUUUGUGCAUUCUGUCCAAACAAAUUUGCACAAAAUGGGACAAAAUGAAGCCAUGACUGAAGGUCAUGGCUGCAUGGUGGAGCAUCUGCUUUGCAUCCAUAAGAUCCCAGGUUCCAUUGCCAACAUCUCCCGGUACGGCUGGGAGAGACCCCUCUCCGAAAUCCUGGAGAGUUUCUGCCUGUCAUUGUAGACAACACAGAGCUAGAUCAACCAAUGGUCUGACUCAGUAAAAGGUAGUUCCCCGUAUUCCUAUGUCCCCGUCUGUCAUCCAUACAAAGCUACAUUUACAUUUUAGCAGUGCAAGUUUGCUUACAAUUGCAAGAAGGUGGGUUUCAAUUGCAUUAAAAACUUGCAGCAUAAUCUCCCAAAAAGAUAUAAAUGGUCUUAAAGAAAAUAACAAAGAGCACCAAAGAUGUAUGUGUUGUUUUGCUAAGCAACAAGACAGUGUCACUCUUUAAUUUAUGAAAUGACAAAGGAAUCUGGUAUUUGGUUUUCUGUUAACAUUGUAUGUUGAAAGGCCUUCUCAUCCAUUCCAAAGUUUGAGGGACAAGACACACCUUUUUUAAUUGUCUUGGCUUUGAAAAGAAUGAUUUUCAGGGGAGGAGAAUUAUUGGCUCUCAUUGGCUGUCGGAAAUCCUCGCCUCUCCGACCUGUUUGAAGAUAUGAUUUGCUGCACACAGAGAGUGAAUGCAGAGCCCGGAACAACAAUACCCUCGUGGAAAGAGUCAGACCCAGCUGGGGAGAUUGCAAAUCUCAGCUUGUUACAGGAGGCCUUAAGACGAUUGUCUGCCUUUAUAAGUGUGUGUGGGAAAACAAACAUGGCUUAAUUAUUCUCAGAUUAGCAUGCUUCUCCAAUGAAUUUGAUAGCAGCUGCUGAAAUUCAUUGAGAUGUCUCCCUGGAGAAGAACAAGUCUUUUCAUGAAAGAUGUCGGCGGAAGAACACAGUGCGCCAAUCAACUUUGGUUUGUCUUUGCGGAAACCAGUUAAGGUCAAGGAGUUUGUACUUCUAUUAAACUGAAAAGCCAGCCUUGAGAAAUAGGUGGUGUAGCCAGAGCUCUCAGGCAGGCUGAAAUCAGACUUGUGAGACCAAAGAAGGCUUUUCUUUGCCAGAAGACACUUCCAUUCAGUGAGCUUUCACCACAAUUGUUCAGGAUGAAAAGUAACUGAUUAUCCUGACUAUGUUCAUUAAUGGAUAGAAUAAUUUGAGGUUUCAUUAUGCAGGAUGGGUUAUGGUUGAGCACCUUAUGCUGGGGAGGUUUGCUGUCUUGAUGGCAUGUGGGAACAUUGUGCUGCUGUUGUACAGUGCAUGCAGAGAGUUCUUGGGUGGAAUGGAGGGCUUUGUCUGUAUGCAACAGGUGGCCUGUGACUCCAUUUGGCUAAAAAGAAUGGAUUUCUGUUCAGAGAAAUGGCACUUGCAACUCUGUAACUCUUCAGUAUUGUUUUCUUUCUUGGUGUGAUAGUAGCUUAGUGGUAGAGCACAUGCUUUGCAUGCAAAAGCUCCCAGGUUUAAUCUCCAAGUGGAGCUGGAAAAGACUCAUCAGUCUGUGUUGAUGAUGUUGACCUAGAUGGAUAGCUGGUCUGACUCACUAUAACUCCCUAUGUUCCUGUGGUGUGCACAGAGGACAGAUAGCUAACAUGUUGCACUCCCAGAAUUGCUGAGCUCCAACCGCCCUAGCCAGCAUGACCAAUGGCCAGGAAUGAUGGGAGCUGUAAUCCAACAACUAUCUGGUAGGUACCACAUUGGCUACCUCAGCUUAGAGACUGGGAGAAUGGCCUUCAGUGGGUGGGUGUUUCCUCUAGCCCAUGCUAUUUCAAACUUGGGUCCCCAGAUGUUGUUGGACUACAAUGCCCAUCAUCCCUAGCUACCAGGACCAAUGGUCAGAGAUAAUGGGAGUUGUAAUCCAAUAACAUUUGGAGACCCAAGUUUGAGAAAGGCUGCUCUAGCCCCGUGGAAACCUACAACAUAGCAUCACUCCAUAUGAUAUUCUUGGUAAAAAUGAAUGGCUGCCCCAAAUGACCAGUCAUGACAUAGCAUCAUUCCCACAGGGUCAUUCUCAAUGAGGAAUGCCGCUGGGCUUCCCUACUGUUGCACUGUCUUCACUUUAAGUGGCAGCAAAGCUUUUAAACUAUCAUCAACUCAAAUAGGCAUUUACUUACUAAAUUUGGAAUUUAUUGGAAGCAGGAAGUCCUGUUAAUUCAUUACAGCAAGGCCGAAGCGGUUGUGUUUGCCAAGAAGCAUGAGCAAUGUAAACCGGCUCUGGCUGUUCACAGGAUUGAACAGUGCCAUCCAUUCAAACAUUUCGGGCUCUAUUUCUCUGAAAAUAACUUAUGGCAUACCCACAUGGAGGCAAUUUCAGCCUCAGCAGCCUGCUCACUGUAGUCUAUAAUGAAGCUCACCUUUACUGAGGGCCAUCAUUUGUUAGAAGCACCAUUGUGUCCCAUCAUUUUUAUGGUGCAGCAAUUUGGGGGGUAGCCAUUGCAGAGAUUUAACUUCUACAUAAUUAAAAGUGAGGUCUUGCACAUGGUCUUGGCAGUAUCACACAGCACACCUGGCACAUUAUUAAGGAUUUUCUUCUAUAAAAGCACACAUGCAUAAAUCCAUCAUAUUGCACUGGGGAAAGCCAUCUUUGAUGUCAGAUCAACAUUUAACAAUAUUGUGCUUUUAGAUGUACAGAAUAGUAAAAUAAAAAGAAGGACUUCAACCCUCUGCCACCUCAUAUCUUAUCAUGGAAAACCAUUCAUCCCAAUAUGUGAAUUUCUCCCAACCCUCCAAAAGCUCAGUGGGUGGGCAUGCCAACCCAUUGGGACAGCUCUGUUCCUACCAUGCAGUUCUGACCCCCCCUGCCUUGACCCCCCCACCUUGAUCUUAGACUCCUUAAACUUGGACUGCUGGUUUCACCUUACCUAACUAGCCUGAGCGUAAUUAUGGAUGCUGUGGCUCAUUAACUGAUGUUGAAUAUGAGUCUCUUAUCUUCCAUAAUAAAAACAUCUUCCUUACUCUCUAUCAAAAACAAAACAAAAGACAAAACAAAAGUCUCCCCAAAGUCCCUGACCCUUUAAUGUGAAACUAAUGGCCCCAUGAAAGGAGUGAUUUUCAGCUAGCAAUAUCCAAAGCAGAACACCUGGUAGGGAAGGAAAUGGACCCUUUGCAUGCCCAUUUUCCAUCCCAAGGUCUUAAAAGCUCACCUGUAGAUUGCAGCUCUGCUUUGAGGGACACCAUUUCCAUUCAUUAAUGUAAUACACUUGCUAAUGAACUACCAUUUAGGUUUUAAUGGGCCAUAAAUCAGAAUGAUCCCAUGAAAUGACAAGGGCAUUGGACCUCGUUAUUCAAAGUGUCUCCCCUGGGACAACAGUCUGCUGGGUCAGUGACUUAGCAUAGGGCAGUUGCAACUGCUCUUG